GUCGAGCGAACGGACGAGAAGCUUGCUUCUCUGAUGUUAGCGGCGGACGGGUGAGUAACACGUGGAUAACCUACCUAUAAGACUGGGAUAACUUCGGGAAACCGGAGCUAAUACCGGAUAAUAUUUUGAACCGCAUGGUUCAAAAGUGAAAGACGGUCUUGCUGUCACUUAUAGAUGGAUCCGCGCUGCAUUAGCUAGUUGGUAAGGUAACGGCUUACCAAGGCAACGAUGCAUAGCCGACCUGAGAGGGUGAUCGGCCACACUGGAACUGAGACACGGUCCAGACUCCUACGGGAGGCAGCAGUAGGGAAUCUUCCGCAAUGGGCGAAAGCCUGACGGAGCAACGCCGCGUGAGUGAUGAAGGUCUUCGGAUCGUAAAACUCUGUUAUUAGGGAAGAACAUAUGUGUAAGUAACUGUGCACAUCUUGACGGUACCUAAUCAGAAAGCCACGGCUAACUACGUGCCAGCAGCCGCGGUAAUACGUAGGUGGCAAGCGUUAUCCGGAAUUAUUGGGCGUAAAGCGCGCGUAGGCGGUUUUUUAAGUCUGAUGUGAAAGCCCACGGCUCAACCGUGGAGGGUCAUUGGAAACUGGAAAACUUGAGUGCAGAAGAGGAAAGUGGAAUUCCAUGUGUAGCGGUGAAAUGCGCAGAGAUAUGGAGGAACACCAGUGGCGAAGGCGACUUUCUGGUCUGUAACUGACGCUGAUGUGCGAAAGCGUGGGGAUCAAACAGGAUUAGAUACCCUGGUAGUCCACGCCGUAAACGAUGAGUGCUAAGUGUUAGGGGGGUUUCCGCCCCUUAGUGCUGCAGCUAACGCAUUAAGCACUCCGCCUGGGGAGUACGACCGCAAGGUUGAAACUCAAAGGAAUUGACGGGGACCCGCACAAGCGGUGGAGCAUGUGGUUUAAUUCGAAGCAACGCGAAGAACCUUACCAAAUCUUGACAUCCUUUGACAACUCUAGAGAUAGAGCCUUCCCCUUCGGGGGACAAAGUGACAGGUGGUGCAUGGUUGUCGUCAGCUCGUGUCGUGAGAUGUUGGGUUAAGUCCCGCAACGAGCGCAACCCUUAAGCUUAGUUGCCAUCAUUAAGUUGGGCACUCUAAGUUGACUGCCGGUGACAAACCGGAGGAAGGUGGGGAUGACGUCAAAUCAUCAUGCCCCUUAUGAUUUGGGCUACACACGUGCUACAAUGGACAAUACAAAGGGCAGCGAAACCGCGAGGUCAAGCAAAUCCCAUAAAGUUGUUCUCAGUUCGGAUUGUAGUCUGCAACUCGACUACAUGAAGCUGGAAUCGCUAGUAAUCGUAGAUCAGCAUGCUACGGUGAAUACGUUCCCGGGUCUUGUACACACCGCCCGUCACACCACGAGAGUUUGUAACACCCGAAGCCGGUGGAGU
rnacentral:rRNA from 1 species